GCAAGUCGAGCGGCAGCGGGUCCUUCGGGAUGCCGGCGAGCGGCGGACGGGUGAGUAAUGCCUAGGAAUCUGCCUGGUAGUGGGGGAUAACUCGGGGAAACUCGAGCUAAUACCGCAUACGUCCUACGGGAGAAAGCGGGGGAUCUUCAGACCUCGCGCUACCAGAUGAGCCUAGGUCGGAUUAGCUAGUUGGUGAGGUAAAGGCUCACCAAGGCGACGAUCCGUAGCUGGUCUGAGAGGAUGAUCAGCCACACUGGAACUGAGACACGGUCCAGACUCCUACGGGAGGCAGCAGUGGGGAAUAUUGGACAAUGGGCGAAAGCCUGAUCCAGCCAUGCCGCGUGUGUGAAGAAGGUCUUCGGAUUGUAAAGCACUUUAAGUUGGGAGGAAGGGCAGUAAGUUAAUACCUUGCUGUUUUGACGUUACCGACAGAAUAAGCACCGGCUAACUUCGUGCCAGCAGCCGCGGUAAUACGAAGGGUGCAAGCGUUAAUCGGAAUUACUGGGCGUAAAGCGCGCGUAGGUGGUUUGAUAAGUUGGAUGUGAAAGCCCCGGGCUCAACCUGGGAAUUGCAUCCAAAACUGUCUGACUAGAGUAUGGCAGAGGGUGGUGGAAUUUCCUGUGUAGCGGUGAAAUGCGUAGUUAUAGGAAGGAACACCAGUGGCGAAGGCGACCGCCUGGGCUAAUACUGACACUGAGGUGCGAAAGCGUGGGGAGCAAACGGGAUUAGAUACCCUGGUAGUCCACGCCGUAAACGAUGUCGACUAGCCGUUGGGAUCCUUGAGAUCUUAGUGGCGCAGCUAACGCAUUAAGUCGACCGCCUGGGGAGUACGGGCCGCAAGGGUUACAACUCAAAUGAAUUUGACGGAA
rnacentral:rRNA from 1 species